UCAGCAUUCUAACGUAAACACAACUUGAUUUUACAAACUUGCGCAUUUUUAAAAUGGUUGAAAAACCGUUAUCGAAAAAGAUGUUAUUUUUAACCUUGUUUUUAGGCAUUAUAUUCUGUGAUACUAAUAAUUAAUACAUUAUUUCUUUAUAUUCUACAUUCGAAUUAGAUGUUAAAUUUUUAUCAUAUUAAUGAUAAAUAAAAGUUACUAAAACUUUAUUUGAUUUCCAAAAACUGUUGACAUUUUUGUUAUGUUUUUGUAUACUUUGUAUAUUUAACAUUACUUAUAUAGUAAAAAUUUCUAACAUAUAUAAUAUUUGUAUAUAAUAUUUCAUUUACAAAUAGAUAAUGCAAUGAUAGGUUUUUUAAAUACCCGUUAUUUAUCUAUUUAACAGUUUAAUUAAAUGCCAAUAAAAAUACAGAGCCUUUUUUUUUUUAUGACAUUCAAUUCAGUUGUCUAAGACAAUUGUAAGUUGUAUUAAAAUAAGGUUUUUACUUAAUAUACAUAAUAUAUUAAGUAUAAAUUUAAAACAAUUAAGUUAUAUUAAGACAAUGUCUUAAUCAUAAUAUAUAUUUUAUUUAUUUGAAUGGAAAGUUUUUUAGUUUGUUGUGGAACUAGACUAGAAAUUACCUAAUAAGCUUCUUAUAACUUGUGUAAUGUGUUUCUUUUACGAAUUUGUAUAUUGGUAUAACCAUAUCAUGCUAUUCCUACAGUAUUAUAACUCACACUGACUCUCAUAAAUUUGAGUCUCAAGUCACGAAAAAGGGCCAACUCUCACGUGUUGGUGGAAAGUUACCAAAGUAUGUUAAUGACUUAAUUCAGAGAUAAUGUUUCUAAACGAUUUACAGUCGAUAAUCUUUCGAAAGCAGAAAAACUCAGUGUCAAACAAAGAAUACGCGAAUUAUUUGAGAUAUGAUUGAAAUUUGCAAAGAAAGUAAAAAUCAAACUAGUUUCAUUCUAAGUUAUUGUAUAUAAUUUUAAAAUUUUGGAAUAGCAGUGAUGCAAUGUUUA
rnacentral:lncRNA from 1 species